GAUGAAGAACGCAGCGAAAUGCGAUACUUGGUGUGAAUUGCAGAAUCCCGUGAACCAUCGAGUCUUUGAACGCAAGUUGCGCCUCAAGCCAUUAGGUUGAGGGCACGUCUGCCUGGGCGUCACAUAUCGUUGCCUGAUGCCAGUUUCCUCGUGAUGGGUGACUGUGCAGGGCGAAUGAUGGCUUCCCGUGAGCAUUGUUGCCUCAUGGUUGGUUGAAAAUUGAGUCCUUGGUAGGGAGCGCCGUGAUAGAUGGUGGUUGAGUGACGAACGAGACCCAAUCAUGUGAGACCCCUACCGAAUUUAGCCUUCAUGACCCACAUGCGUCUUUGGAACGCUCAUGACGAGACCUCAGGUCAGGCGGGGCUACCCGCUGAGUUUAAGCAUAUCAAUAAGCGGAGGA
rnacentral:misc_RNA from 1 species